GACGAAUGUGGCAAGCGUUGUUCGGAUUCACUGGGCGUAAAGGGCGCGUAGGCGGUUCCGAAAGUGGCCUGUGAAAUCCCCCGGCUCAACCGGGGAAGUGCGGGCCAAACUUCGGUCCUUGAGGCUGGGAGGGGAGACUGGAACUCUCGGUGGAGCGGUGAAAUGCGUAGAUAUCGAGAGGAACACCGGUGGCGAAGGCGAGUCUCUGGUCCAGCUCUGACGCUGAGGCGCGAAAGCGUGGGUAGCAAACAGG
rnacentral:rRNA from 1 species